GGGGUGUUAGCUCAUAUGGUAGAGCGCUCGCUUCGCAUGUCGUCUGCGAGAGGCACGGGGUUCGAUUCCCCGAUACUCCA
rnacentral:tRNA from 1 species